CCUACGGGAGGCAGCAGUGAGGAAUAUUGGUCAAUGGGCGCGAGCCUGAACCAGCCAAGUAGCGUGAAGGAUGACUGCCCUACGGGUUGUAAACUUCUUUUAUAAAGGAAUAAAGUGAGGCACGUGUGCCUUUUUGUAUGUACUUUAUGAAUAAGGAGCGGCGAACUCCGUGCCAGCAGCCGCGGUAAGACGGAGGAUCCGAGCGUGAUCCGGAGUUAUUGGGUUUAAAGGGAGCGUAGAUGGGUUGUUAAGUCAGUUGUGAAAGUUUGCGGCUCAACCGUAAAAUUGCAAUUGAUACUGGCAGCCGUGAGUACAGUUGGGGUAGGCGGAAUUCGUGGUGUAGCGGUGAAAUGCGUAGAGAUCACGAAGAACUCCGAUUGCGAAGGCAGCCUACUAAACUGCCACUGACAUUGAUGCUCGAAAGUGUGGGUAUCAAACAGGAUUAGAUACCCCUGUAGUC
rnacentral:rRNA from 1 species